CUCUGCCAGGUCCAAAGGCAUAUCCACUCGUUGGAAGUGCUCUCUAUUUUGUGGGAAUAAAUACUAGCGAACUUUUACAAGUUGCGAGUACACUAGUGAACAAUUUUUCAUCUCCAUUUCGAGUCUGGUUCGGCCAUAUUGCAUAUAUCGGUGUAUAUGACGGAGAACACAUAAAGGCUGUCCUGCAAAGUCGAUGCUUCGAGAAAAGUUCGAUUUAUAAAAUUUUUAAACCAGUAUUGAG